AGUUGUUAUUAAAGAUUUAUCGGUAACCGAUGGGGAUGCGUUCCAUUAGGCAGUUGGCGGGGGUAACGGCCCACCAAACCGACGAUGGAUAGGGGUUCUGAGAGGAAGGUCCCCCACAUUGGAACUGAGACACGGUCCAAACUCCUACGGGAGGCAGCAGUGAGGAAUAUUGGUCAAUGGGCGAGAGCCUGAACCAGCCAAGUAGCGUGAAGGAUGACUGCCCUAUGGGUUGUAAACUUCUUUUAUGCGGGAAUAACAAGCGGCACGUGUGCCGUUCUGCAUGUACCGUAUGAAUAAGCAUCGGCUAACUCCGUGCCAGCAGCCGCGGUAAUACGGAGGAUGCGAGCGUUAUCCGGAUUUAUUGGGUUUAAAGGGAGGGCAGACGGGUCUUUAAGUCAGUUGUGAAAGUUUGCGGCUCAACGGUAAAAUUGCAGUUGAUACUGGAGACCUUGAGUGCGGUAUAGGCAGGCGGAAUUCGUGGUGUAGCGGUGAAAUGCUUAGAUAUCACGAAGAGCUCCGAUUG
rnacentral:rRNA from 1 species